CGUGAAGUUGGAAUUGCUAGUAAUCGCGGAUCAGCAUGCCGCGGUGAAUACGUUCCCGGGCCUUGUACACACCGCCCGUCACACCAUGGGAGUUUGUAACACCCGAAGUCAGUAGUCUAACCGCAAGGAGGACGCUGCCGAAGGUGGGAUAAGCGACUGGGGUGAAGUCGUAACAAGGUAUC
rnacentral:rRNA from 1 species